ensembl:lncRNA
GAACACUGGGAGGAGAGGGAGGCAGUGCAUACCCUUCAUCCCAGCCUUCCAGAAAGACGCAGGCGCUCAUCUGCAAAGCCAGCUGCGGCUGAAUAGGAUGUGUUUCCAUCCUCCAGUGUUUCCUGUCUUUCUAGUGACUUCCUAUCUCUCGUUGAUUGACAAAUCGUUUUAAGAUGCUGGAGACUGAUGAAAAACAAAACCAAAUCCUGCUGUGAUCCUUUCACAGCUGGGCCCUUUCUGUUCCAUAUCUGAGUGGCAGGCAGGACUUAGUGUGAUCAAAAAGGAGAAGGCUGAAGGAACAUCGCUCUGAAGAGAGGAAGGCAAAGCCAGGGGCUCUGUCUCCAGGCCUAGAGCUCUGAGUCGCCCUGGCACAGGCGUGGGAAAGCUAGACCCGCAGAGAGGAAUGGGCAGAGCCCCCAAACCCAGACUUUUUGCUGGAAGCAUCUCUGUGGACCUGAACUGCCUGCCGUGCUUCUGGAAGACUACUGUAUCUGCAUGCAGCGUCCCAAAGUCACCUGACAGGGCUUCAUCUCAGUCCUUCUUUUUUGGGGCCUCCAACUAAAUUGAAUAGGCCCUUCUCUCUUUCUGCAUCUUUUUUUCCUUACCCUUGAAGCAAAAUUCAAUUUCUCAGAGAGUUGCCUUCAUUAUUCGCUAAGCUGAGAUAAUCCCUGGAAAACACGUGAAGUACGCGGAGUACACAGCUCCCUGCCUUUCAGUGCCUCUCAAGCAACCUCAGAAACUCCCAUCUCACCUCCACUUCUAAUGCUGCCUCCUCCUGCUCCUGGCUUUUCUCCUGCCAUACGUCCUAGCCUAGGAGGCAGGUCUGUGGCAAACUGUGAUUUUAAGCAGUUGACUUCAUCUCCUUGGACCUUAGUUUUAAAGAAUGACAAUAUCAGAUCACUGAAUGAUCUAUGCCUCCUGUCAGUUCCCUCUCUCAUCUUAGACCUAGCCUUCCAGGUCCCACUCCUGCAGGAUCAAUAUGCUGUCCUUCCAGACAUUUUCUUUGAAUUCUUCCCAAGUGUCUUCUAGAGGCGGGGCCACACCUCCAGAGUAUAACUCUCCUGGGGGGAACAGCACACCCUGGAUUGGGGGUGAGUGAUGCUCUGGAGCCUGAUUUUGUGGUGGCCACCACUCACUGCAAAAAAGCUGGUGCUGCUAGGUCACUUCAGUCAUGUCCGACUCUGUGCGACCCCAUAGAUGUCAGGCCACCAGGCUCCCCCGCCCCUGGGAUUCUCCAGGCAAGAACACUGGAGUGGGUUGCCAUUUCCUUCUCCAACACGUGAAAGUGAAAAGUGAAAGUGAAGUCACUCAGUCCUGUCUGACUCUUAGCGAUCCCACAGCCUACCAGACUCCUCCAUCCAAGGGAUUUUCCAGGCAAGAGUGCUGGAGUGGGGUGCCAUUGUCUUCUCCAGCCACCCAGAACUUGCUUGUCUCAGUGGUACUCCCCUGGUCCAGACACUCUGCUUGUACAAAUUCAUGUGUAAGUAGGAAUUUCCCCUCUGUUUAGGUCAUGGGUGAGGUGAAGUGGACUUUGAGCCUAUUGCACUGUAAACACAAACUAACUGUAAAUUUCAUGGUGGUGUCUCACAUACAGAGGUGUUCAUCAAAACCUGUGUAGGGCACUCCAUCUGACCCUGCUGACCUAAAAAGUGUCUGAUGUUUUUUCUUUGCUUAAGCAGGGAGUUACUUUUUUUGGAAAAGAGAAAGUCUGGCCCCUUUCUCCUCUAGUGCCCUGAGUGGGUUGUCACAGGUUCUAGAUUGGAUUCGAAAAAGAAGUGCGUGCUCUUUGGGUUAAAGAUGAAAGCUAUUCAGGUGAACUGAAGGCAGUUAGAAAGCAGGCAAAUGCAAACACAGUCUCAUAAUCUCACAUCUGCAAAUGACUGGAAAUCUACCCACAAAGUAGGAUGUGACAGCCUGGCUGAGUAAUCAAAGCAGGAGUCUGCUCAGUGAGGAAAAUCUUAAACAAACAAACAAACACCCCCCUACCCUCAAACCCCAUAACAAACAAAAACCAAAAUAAACCUAGAAAACCCAAACAACAACAGUAACCACAAGACUGGAUGACUGCUAAGGCUCUCAGGACUCCCCAGAAUUACCGCUGAGCAAGCUCAUUAAGGCCUAAGUGGUCGUUUUCCACCUGCCUGUAGCUGUUGGAGGCACUCGGGUGGCUUGUUGGGAUAAGGAUGUUCUGUCCUUGCUGUUUUACCAGCCGCUAAUUAAUCCCUGUGACCCAGCGCGGGGAGGAGGGUCAGGCACAGGAACCUCUCCUGAAGACUCAGCCGAGACGUUAACCAGAGUCCCAGCUCCCCCUCAAGAAUGGCCUGGAGGAGCUGAGGUGGGACACCGCUGUCUCGGGCCACUCAUCACCCUUGCUGAGCUGGUGAUCACUGAGUCUCCUCAGAGAGCCCUGCCCAGGAUCCCGACAAGCAGGGAGGAGCAAAGCCACACUGUGGACAAGCACUUAAGCACUCUGGACUUGUUUUUCUCAUCGGCAACGUGAGAACCUUGCCAACUCUACCACCCAGGAGGUAUCAGAACUGCUAAGCUGAGGUCCAGAACAUAAAGGAUCAGGUGAGGGAGUUGUCACUCUAACAGCCAGCACUUAUCAAGCUCUUAUUACACACCGUGCUAUGCUUGGUGGGUUAUGGACCUCCUUUUGCUUAAGCCUUAUAGUUGUCUUGCAAAGAAGAGUCAUGCAAACCCCUAUUACAGAAGAGAAAAAUGAGGAAUGAUCAAAAAAAGAGUUCAGACUUGUCAAGACUUACACAAAGAGAUCAUGGAGCUGGUAAGCAGCAGGAUUUGAAUGCCAAUCUCUUUCCUAGUGCUUUUUUCCUUUGCACGGUACCUCUGAGUGGAUAGAAGCUGGUCCCCUAAAAAAUUGUUGCCAAAUACAAAGAAGGUACACUUUAUGGAGGACCAGUCAAGCCUUCAGAGGACUGCAGCACCGGAAGAUAGUGUAACUGUCACAUCAUGAGAGACCCUGAGUUAGAAUUACCCAGCAAAGCUGUUCCUAGAUUCCUGUGUGAGAUAAUAAAUGAUCAUUGUUG